GUGGGGAAUAUUGGACAAUGGGCGAAAGCCUGAUCCAGCCAUGCCGCGUGUGUGAAGAAGGUCUUCGGAUUGUAAAGCACUUUAAGUUGGGAGGAAGGGCAGUAAGUUAAUACCUUGCUGUUUUGACGUUACCGACAGAAUAAGCACCGGCUAACUCUGUGCCAGCAGCCGCGGUAAUACAGAGGGUGCAAGCGUUAAUCGGAAUUACUGGGCGUAAAGCGCGCGUAGGUGGUUCGUUAAGUUGGAUGUGAAAGCCCCGGGCUCAACCUGGGAACUGCAUCCAAAACUGGCGAGCUAGAGUACGGUAGAGGGUGGUGGAAUUUCCUGUGUAGCGGUGAAAUGCGUAGAUAUAGGAAGGAACACCAGUGGCGAAGGCGACCACCUGGACUGAUACUGACACUGAGGUGCGAAAGUGUGGGGAGCAAACAGGAUUAGAAACCCGAGUAGUCC
rnacentral:rRNA from 1 species